rnacentral:rRNA from 1 species
GACGUAGGAGGCGAGCGUUGUCCGGAUUCAUUGGGCGUAAAGAGCACGCAGGCGGUUUGGCAAGUCGGACGUGAAAAUCCGGGGCUCAACCCCGGACCUGCAUCCGAAACUGCCCGACUAGAGGUAGGUAGGGGAGAUCGGAAUUCCUGGUGUAGCGGUGAAAUGCGCAGAUAUCAGGAGGAACACCGGCGGCGAAGGCGGAUCUCUGGGCCUUACCUGACGCUCAGGUGCGAAAGCUAGGGGAGCGAACAGG